rnacentral:rRNA from 1 species
UUGUCUCUCUUGAGUGGAUCCUGAGUACGACGGAGCACGUGAAAUUCCGUCGGAAUCUGGGAGGACCAUCUCCUAAGGCUAAAUACUCUCUAGUGACCGAUAGUGAACCAGUACCGUGAGGGAAAGGUGAAAAGCACCCCGGAAGGGGAGUGAAAUAGAACCUGAAACCGUGUGCUUACAAGUAGUCAGAGCCCGUUAAUGGGUGAUGGCGUGCCUUUUGUAGAAUGAACCGGCGAGUUACGAUUUGAUGCAAGGUUAAGCAGUAAAUGUGGAGCCGUAGCGAAAGCGAGUCUGAAUAGGGCGUUUAGUAUUUGGUCGUAGACCCGAAACCAGGUGAUCUACCCUUGGUCAGGUUGAAGUUCAGGUAACACUGAAUGGAGGACCGAACCGACUUACGUUGAAAAGUGAGCGGAUGAACUGAGGGUAGCGGAGAAAUUCCAAUCGAACCUGGAGAUAGCUGGUUCUCUCCGAAAUAGCUUUAGGGCUAGCCUCAAGUGAUGAUUAUUGGAGGUAGAGCACUGUUUGGACGAGGGGCCCCUCUCGGGUUACCGAAUUCAGACAAACUCCGAAUGCCAAUUAAUUUAACUUGGGAGUCAGAACAUGGGUGAUAAGGUCCGUGUUCGAAAGGGAAACAGCCCAGACCACCAGCUAAGGUCCCAAAAUAUAUGUUAAGUGGAAAAGGAUGUGGCGUUGCCCAGACAACUAGGAUGUUGGCUUAGAAGCAGCCAUCAUUUAAAGAGUGCGUAAUAGCUCACUAGUCGAGUGACACUGCGCCGAAAAUGUACCGGGGCUAAACAUAUUACCGAAGCUGUGGAUUGUCCUUUGGACAAUGGUAGGAGAGCGUUCUAAGGGCGUUGAAGCAUGAUCGUAAGGACAUGUGGAGCGCUUAGAAGUGAGAAUGCCGGUGUGAGUAGCGAAAGACGGGUGAGAAUCCCGUCCACCGAUUGACUAAGGUUUCCAGAGGAAGGCUCGUCCGCUCUGGGUUAGUCGGGUCCUAAGCUGAGGCCGACAGGCGUAGGCGAUGGAUAACAGGUUGAUA